rnacentral:rRNA from 1 species
GUAUGAGAGGUUUUCGGAUCGUAAGCACUGUUGUUAGAGAAGAACAAGGAUAAGAGUAACUGCUUGUCCCUUGACGGUAUCUAACCAGAAAGCCACGGCUAACUACGUGCCAGCAGCCGCGGUAAUACGUAGGUGGCAAGCGUUGUCCGGAUUUAUUGGGCGUAAAGCGCGCGCAGGCGGUCUUUUAAGUCUGAUGUGAAAGCCCCCGGCUUAACCGGGGAGGGUCAUUGGAAACUGGAAGACUGGAGUGCAGAAGAGGAGAGUGGAAUUCCACGUGUAGCGGUGAAAUGCGUAGAUAUGUGGAGGAACACCAGUGGCGAAGGCGGCUCUCUGGUCUGUAACUGACGCUGAGGCUCGAAAGCGUGGGGAGCAAACAGGAUUAGAUACCCUGGUAGUCCACGCCGUAAACGAUGAGUGCUAAGUGUUAGGGGGUUUCCGCCCUUCAGUGCUGCAGCUAACGCAUUAAGCACUCCGCCUGGGGAGUACGACCGCAAGGUUGAAACUCAAAGGAAUUGACGGGGGCCCGCACAAGCGGUGGAGCAUGUGGUUUAAUUCGAAGCAACGCGAAGAACCUUACCAGGUCUUGACAUCCUUUGACCACUCUGGAGACAGAGCUUUCCCUUCGGGGGACAAAGUGACAGGUGGUGCAUGGUUGUCGUCAGCUCGUGUCGUGAGAUGUUGGGUUAAGUCCCGCAACGAGCGCAACCCUUGUAUUUUAGUUGCCAUCAUUUAGUUGGGCACUCUAAAGUGACUGCCGGUGACAGCCGGAAGAAGGGGGGGAAGACCUCAAAUCAUUAUGGCCCUUAUGAACUGGGGUACACACGUGGUACCAUGGAUGGUACCAAGGGUCGCGAAGCCGCGAGGGGUAGCCUAUCCCAUAAAACCUUUCUCAAUUCGGAUUGGAGGGUGGAACUCCCCUACCUGAAGCCGGAAUCGCUAAUAAUCGUGGAUCAACAUGCCACGGUGGAUACCUUCCCGGGCCUUGGACACACCGGCCGUCACCCCACCAAAAGUUGGAACACCCCAAGUCGGGAGGGGAACCUUUAUGGAGCCAGCCGCCUAAGGUGGGACAGAUAAUUGGGGUGAAGUCGUAACAGGGUAAGC